AACACAAAUUGUACUUUCCAGUAAUCUGGGAAGUAUGCUUGGUUGAGGGUCAUUAAAAUAACAUUCGUGAAUUUUUUUGCGGAUUUGAGUUUUCCAGUAUUUAUAAAAAUGUUGGUAACUUUAAAAUUAUUAUUACUUGGUACAAGUUGAAGACGUUCUAUAUGUGUGGUUCGCUGACAACUUGCCCAUCUUUAUAUAUUAUGCGCGCACUUGGUUUUUUUAUGCUUUGUGCGAGUAUAUAUUUUUUUAUGACCUCAGCUCAAGUAAGAACACCCGCUGAACUUAA
rnacentral:misc_RNA from 1 species